rnacentral:rRNA from 1 species
UACAGAGGGCUCAAGCGUUGUUCGGAUUCAUUGGGCGUAAAGGGUGCGUAGGUGGCGCCAUAAGUCAGGUGUGAAAUCUCGGGGCUUAACUCCGAAACUGCAUUUGAUACUGUGGUGCUUGAGGACUGGAGAGGAGACUGGAAUUUACGGUGUAGCAGUGAAAUGCGUAGAGAUCGUAAGGAAGACCAGUGGCGAAGGCGGGUCUCUGGACAGUUCCUGACACUGAGGCACGAAGGCCAGGGGAGCAAACGGG